UAGAGUUGCAAUACUCCAUAAACCAUUGUGAACGUUACCUUCAACCGUUGCUUCGGCGGGAGGCGCCCCCCCGGGGCGCCCCUCGGCCCCUCGCGGGCGCCCGCCGGAGGUAAACCAAACUCUUGAACUGUAUGGCCUCUCUGAGUCUUCUGUACUGAAUAAGUCA
rnacentral:misc_RNA from 1 species